GUGGCUUCUGGAGCUAACGCGUUAAAUCGACCGCCUGGGGAGUACGGCCGCAAGGUUAAAACUCAAAUGAAUUGACGGGGGCCCGCACAAGCGGUGGAGCAUGUGGUUUAAUUCGAUGCAACGCGAAGAACCUUACCUACUCUUGACAUCCAGCGAAUCCUUUAGAGAUAGAGGAGUGCCUUCGGGAGCGCUGAGACAGGUGCUGCAUGGCUGUCGU
rnacentral:rRNA from 1 species